rnacentral:lncRNA from 1 species
CUGAUGUUCCCUGGGAACUAAGUCGUGCUGACACACACCUGAGAUGACUGAGGAUCAAGAUCACCUCAAGAGCUCUUUGUGAUUAUAAAAUGGUGGCGAGAAAGCUCCGUGGGGGGUGGGUGGCUGAAGAUGUCUGCCCCAUGUUGAGCUGGGCUGAAUUCCAGGCUCGAUCCUAGUGUUGUGCAAUUCCAUAUUGGAGCAUGAGACAAGACCAAGAGAUCAGGAAGACUGACCCCGUCCUUUACUUAAGAUUGAGGUAAACUGACUUCAGGAAAAGCUGCAGCUGCCCACAGAGCCGCUGUGAUGUGCUGGCUGCUUUUCUCUGCAGACAUCCUGCCAGACCCAAGAGAAAAAUACUUCCGGAAUUCUGGAAGGCUCUCAGCCUCACUCUCCUUGGUCUGAAACCAGCCCAGGAGAUGUAACAGCAUCAAUUGGAUUGAUCAGCUCAAGCCUGAGCCAUCGACUCCCAUCUCAGGCUACACCGUGUAUUAAGAGUGUGGCCUCACUAGAUUCUUACGGAAUCCAGGCUCUCAACUUAGUUUCCAGUUCUGCUCAAAGCAUGGUCCCCUUUGCCCAGCGGUGCCUAAGAG